GCUGUUAUCAAUCAAUCAGCUGUUUCAUUUGCCACACAGUUCGCGGAUCAAUCGGAUCGCGUAGAAAUUAAACGAAAAUAAAAAUAAUAAUUAGUAAAUACCAAUAAAGGCUCUGGCAAAAAAGUGCCGAAACGGAAAUAAACGAGGCGAGCGUGCGAGUGCAAUUGUGUAUUUUUGCAGCAAACUGCAAAAGCAUUAGUGAAAGCCAAGCAAGGGCAAGAAAGAGAAAAAGUGAAAAUAUACAAGUUGAUGCAAUCGCAAAGUGCUGAACAAUAAACACAGUCAGAGGGCGCCCAUUUCGCAAAUAUUCGUAUAAUUAUUAUUGGUCUGCGGCAGUGACAAAUGAUGGCCUAAAAUGGCGGCCACACCACCAAUACCGCCCGGAGCAAAUCAUUUCCAAUUAAAUGGCAACCCUCCACAACAGCAACAGCAACAGCAACAGGAGCAGCAACA